CCCCCAGUGCCGAAGCUCUUGUCACCGCCGCGGCUGAAGUUUUCCUCCCCGGGCAGCGACUCGGGGCCAGAGAAGCCACUGGGUGUCCCUUCAGCAGUGCCAGGGGGCUGCCGAGGUCCUAUCCGGUGUGAGAUGGAGAUGAGGCUGGGCUGUGUAUCAGAAACCAAAGAUUGGACUUCAGAGCCCUCCUGCACAGUUUUCUGUUACUGGCAAACAUAUAUUUAUCUUGAAGGUUUGCAUUUUGGCAUGUCAGCGUUUUUUAUAACAAUACAAAUGUGCUUGAAAAUUUUUUGAUCAGCCUAAUGGUUGAGACUUAUUAGAAGCUGCAGAACAUAGUCACAAUCAAUUCACUUAUUCAGAUGCAUGAAUACAAGCUUAGGAAAGUAAUUACAGGCACCUUUUUUUGGAAAUCUUGAGGCUGUGUAGUUCCCCCAUGGGAAAUAUGAGUAAUAAAUUCCUACCAAAAAAAGAAAAAAAAAAAAAAAAGAAAA